GGAGGCUGUCCUUGCUGUCAACCCUGCUCUGACUCUAGUGACUCGUGGAGCUGGAACUUUGUGUCUGUGUUUGUGGAGUGGCGGUGUAGGAAUUUGAGGCUGCGCUCAGCUCAGUGUGUGUGUGUAUGAGUGUGUGUGUGUCUGAGUGUCAGCACAGGCAGUCUGAAGUCAUUGGCUCACAGGCCAGAGCAGGCAGGCUGGAACAAAAAAAACAGGGUUCAGAAAAAACACUUGAGUGUGUGUGAGCAGCGUAGUAUCUGGGAUAUCUAGAGUACAGCAAAACGUAAAGAGGAGAGAAGAGCUGUUGCAUCUUCAGCUCAGUUCUGUGAGGAAGUAAAUGAGUUGAACGAUAAACUCUAGUCUCUGAAGGGAUUCUACAUGACUACUCUGUGUCGGGAUGAGUUAACUUACUCCUGUUCAAGUUUUCUCUGUGUGGUGUCGACGUAGCAGAUGGCCUCGUAAGGUAACAACGGUGGUCCCUAACUAGCCCCAGAGGGAUAUCCAAAGUCAACCUAAAUUUACCACAGGCGUUACGAUCCGGUCACCUGGAGCUGCAGUCCGAAUUGAUGACUACUUGUGUGCUGCCAGCUGUGGACAUGUAGGCAGGAUUGAAAUAAACAUUAAUUUACGUUGUGAUGGAGUCACGACCACAAGACAAGACUGACUUUAUGACCAAACUUAUCCUAUUUACACUUUGUAGUCCCUUUUUGACAGUAGAAUAAAUGUUUCUGACUCAUAUCGAUACCACGUAGGUUGUUUUCUAAAUGAGAAGUUGUUUUUUUAGGGGCUCUAUAAUCAGUCUGGGACUGGGUUGUUCUUGCUAUAGUAAACAUUAGUGAUAGCUUGGCUCUAGUCUGGGUGUCCCACAAAACAACUUAAAUGUCAAGUUAGUUUAACGUUUGGAUUGAACUUCAAAGUCCCCCACUCCUGCCAUGUAAGAGGUUCUAGACACACCGUGAGAAACAGCCUUCGAAUGGCGGCAUGUCUGUGAUCUGAAUAGCAGUGUGUGUGUGUGUGUGUGUGUGUGUGUGUGUGUGUGUGUGUGUGUGUGUGUGUGUGUGUGUGUGUGUGUGUAUGUGUGUGUGUGUGUGUGUGUGUGUGUGUAGAUGUGUGUGCCUAAAAACUAGAUGUCUAAAUUGCUAUUUGAAUGACAGAGUGUCUGUGCGACAGUCCAGUGUUUUCAUCAGUGAUGAUGAUGAUGAUGUACUUCAGAGAGCACUGGUGAAGGAUGCGGCCUACGGUUUAGUACCAAGAGACGAGUUGCCAUGGCAAUUGAUAAUAGUUACGGUGAAUGAGAGUGAUAAUCUAAAUUGCUGUCAUUCGUUUUACCAGCCAGGAAGAUGUUCAAUAACGCUUCACUGUUAGAGGAGGUAAAUGAGUUGAACAAUAACGCUUUACUAUUGGAGGAGGUAAAUGAGUUGAACGAUAACGCUUUACUAUUGGAGGAGGUAAAUGAGUUGAACAAUAACGCUUUACUAUUGGAGGAGGUAAAUGAGUUGAACAAUAACGCUUUACUAUUGGAGGAGGUAAAUGAGUUGAACGAUAACGCUUUACUAUUGGAGGAGGUAAAUGAGUUGAACGAUAAUGCUUUACUAUUAGAGGAGGUAAAUGAGUUGAACAAUAACGCUUUACUAUUGGAGGAGGUAAAUGAGUUGAACAAUAACGCUUUACUAUUGGAGGAGGUAAAUGAGUUGAACGAUAACGCUUUACUAUUGGAGGAGGUAAAUGAGUUGAACAAUAACGCUUUACUAUUGGAGGAGGUAAAUGAGUUGAACGAUAACGCUUCACUGUUAGAGGAGGUAAAUGAGUUGAACAAUAACGCUUUACUAUUGGAGGAGGUAAAUGAGUUGAACGAUAACGCUUUACUAUUGGAGGAGGUAAAUGAGUUGAACAAUAACGCUUUACUAUUGGAGGAGGUAAAUGAGUUGAACGAUAACGCUUUACUAUUGGAGGAGGUAAAUGAGUUGAACGAUAAUGCUUUACUAUUGGAGGAGGUAAAUGAGUUGAACGAUAAUGCUUUACUAUUAGAGGAGGUAAAUGAGUUGUACGAUAAUGAUGAAGUGCCUAAUAAACCUCUAGUCAGUAUGACUGUAAACAGAAGUAUGACAGUGUGACUGCUGCCUCGUACCCCACACAGAAUCAGAGUGCUGCUGUUGCUGUUUAAUAGCUUUGAAAACACACCACUCUUUCCCCAGUUUACCACACCACUCUUUCCCCCGUUUACCACACCACUCUUUCCCCCGUUUGCCACACCACCAGUUACUUCAUCUCAGCACAGCUGCUAUCAGCAGGUUUUAUUUUCUGCAGUCUGUUUGUCAUUAAACACUGUCUGUCUGUCUGUCUGUCUGUCUGUCUGUCUGUCUGUCUGUCUGUCUGUCUGUCUGUCUGUCUGUCUGUCUGUCUGUCUGUCUGUCUGUCUGUCUGUCUGUCUGUCUGUCUGUCUGUCUGUCUGUCUGUCUGUCUGUCUGUCUGUCUGUCUGUCUGUCUGUCUGUCUGCACACAACCCAUCAUGUUCAUGUUUGAAUGUACAGUAUACAUAGUCUGACAGAAAGUCUGCUUCUCGUCACUGCCAGUAUAGCAGCACAGCCCCCUGACACUGUGUUAUUGUUAGUAAAGGUCUCUACUGUUGCUCAUGUACAGAUGUUAAAGACUUCCUAGACUACAUCACCAUUAUCGUCAGCUAGACGUAAAAACACAUCACCACUGGACCGUGUGACUGCCAGCUUCUAACCAUAACAUAACAUUUCUUACUCUCUCUCUCUGUCUCUCUCUCUCUCUCUCUCUCUCUGUCUCUCUCUCUCUCUCUCUCUCUG